CGAUUUAUUUUGACAGUAGUCACGCAUCGAAAAUUGCGCUUGUAUAAAAGGCCGAAUAAUAUAAGCAGCGGCAAUUAAAAAUUCGACUCGUUUGAAAAGUACCCUGGAAAACUACAAUGAUGAGUAGAGUAAUUAUUGUUGCUGUGCUUUGUUUAGCAGCUCUCUUCUGCAUUACUGCGGCACUGCCCCAAAUGGGUGGAGCUGGUGCAAACGCAGGUUUCGGAUUUGGAUUUAAUGCAGGAUUAGGCGGAGGUGCAGGUGGAAUGGGUGGUAUGCCUGGAAUGGGUGGUAUGCCUGGAAUGGGAGGUUUUGGAAGAAGGAAAUAAAUAUCUCGAAUUAAAGAUAUGUGUAUGAAUAUCAUGACUGCUUUUAAACUGACAACAAGCAACAACAGCAAACCAUUUAGCAUUAAUAUUGUAAAAACUCAUACAAUAAAAGCCAAAUUUUAGAAAUGCA